rnacentral:rRNA from 1 species
CCUACGGGAGGCAGCAGUGGGGAAUAUUGGGCAAUGGACGCAAGUCUGACCCAGCAACGCCGCGUGAAGGAAGAAGGCUUUCGGGUUGUAAACUUCUUUUAAGGGGGAAGAGCAGAAGACGGUACCCCUUGAAUAAGCAACGGCUAACUACGUGCCAGCCGCAGCGGUAAUACGUAGGUGGCAAGUGUUGUCCGGAUUUACUGGGUGUAAAGGGCGUGAAGCCGGAGAGACAAGUCAGAUGUGAAAUCCACGGGCUCAACCCGUGAACUGCAUUUGAAACUGUUUCCCUUGAGUGUCGGAGAGGUAAUCGGAAUUCCUUGUGUAGCGGUGAAAUGCGUAGAUAUAAGGAAGAACACCAGUGGCGAAGGCGGCCUGCUGGACUGUGACUGACGUUGAGGCCCGAAGGCGUGGGGAGCAAACAGGAUUAGAUACCCUAGUAGUC